UAUGCACUGGUGAGGUCCCUCGGCCUGGCCUGUGCCUUUUCGCAAUUCAGGACCCCUUGGGGGAUGUUGGAGAGCUGGUUUUCGGCCCAAUCCCUGCAGGCCAGGCUGAGGGACCCCACCAGUGCACG
rnacentral:pre_miRNA from 1 species